GGCCCACGCACUGGCGCCGCGCAGUGGAGUAUUUAUUUUCGCGCCGCGAUAAGCCCGCUGGCAUGGCUCGUAUCCAGUGCCCGCUGUGCAAGGCAGCGGGGAACGUUCCCUCAUGUGGUAUUCUGCGGUGUCUGGGAAAAUGAAGUACGCAUGCCGAACGUUGCGGCUUAUGUCGCACGACUUGAAUACGCCGGAAAGGGAGGCCAAGCGAGAGUGGCCGGUUCUUUUGAGCGUGUGGUGAGGCAGCCUAAAAAUCUCCCAAACGGAUCUAGAAAAAUGAAGAAAGGAGAGAAAAGUUUCUCUACAGCCCCCAAUGCCGAUAUUUCUGGGCCGAGAAAGAUGAAGUCUGCGUGGAAACGUGUUGCCUGUUACGUAUACUGAAGGUAUACCGGAAAGCCAUCCACUCAGGAUACACUCAGUAUACGAACAGGAGGCACCGGUGCAUUCGUCGAUACGGAGGAUGCGGAGAAGAGCUAGGAGAGAUCCAACAUGGCGGACGGUGGGAUGCUGAGGAAGGAGGAGCCAUUGUGUGUUUUGACGGGGGCGCCGACCUCAACGAAGCGUCCUCUCGUCUCUUCAUUCUCAAUCAUCACUAUGCGUUUUCACGUUGGAAGCAAGGCGGAUGCGUAGAUCAAAAGUGUGGGGUAUUUUGUUAACAAACGGUUCGGUUUAAGAGUUGAAGGAUGAAAUUGAUUCUGCUUUCUAUCGCGCAGUAACCUGCGUGCAUGUUUGCUUGCUUCUUCCGCAUAGAUGCAGAUAGGUAGUUUGUUGUGCUGCAUACGAUAUAGAUAGGAAUAUAUAGGUGCCUGCGAUCACAAGCAGGUUUUCCUUACGCGUAGAAAAACGGUUUGGAAAUUGGUGGACAGAGUGCUUGUGAGAUUAUGUACCAGUUUCUAUUUUGAAUAAAGAAGAUAAACCCUUGUGUA